rnacentral:snRNA from 1 species
GUGUUCCCUGUGGCAGCACAUAUACCAAAAAUUGGAACAAUGCGGAGAAGACGCACGGCCCCUGCACAAGAAUGACAUGUUAGUGGUGGGAAAAUCCAUGUCCUUUU